rnacentral:rRNA from 1 species
GAAAAGCUUUGCUUUUCAAAACUUAGCGGCGGACGGGUGAGUAACACGUGGGCAACCUGCCCUUGAGACGGGGAUAACUCCGGGAAACCGGAGCUAAUACCGGAUAACACAUAUCUUCGCAUGAGGAUAUGUUAGAAGGUGGCUUUUAGCUACCACUCAAGGAUGGGCCCGCGGCGCAUUAGCUAGUUGGUGAGGUAACGGCUCACCAAGGCGACGAUGCGUAGCCGACCUGAGAGGGUGAUCGGCCACACUGGGACUGAGACACGGCCCAGACUCCUACGGGAGGCAGCAGUAGGGAAUCUUCCGCAAUGGACGAAAGUCUGACGGAGCAACGCCGCGUGAGUGAUGAAGGUUUUCGGAUCGUAAAGCUCUGUUGUUAGGGAAGAACAAGUAUCUGUUGAAUAAGCAGGUACCUUGACGGUACCUAACCAGAAAGCCACGGCUAACUAC